UACAGAGGGUGCAAGCGUUAAUCGGAUUGACUGGGCGUAAAGGGCGUGUAGGUGGUUAUGUAAGUUAAUUGUGAAAGACCAGGGCUCAACCCUGGGGUGCCAAUUAGGACUGCAUGGCUUGAGUAGGGGAGAGGAAAGUGGAAUUUCCGGUGUAGCGGUAAAAUGCGUAGAUAUCGGAAGGAACACCAGUGGCGAAGGCGGCUUUCUGGCCCACUACUGACACUGAGGCGCGAAAGCGUGGGGAGCAAACAGG
rnacentral:rRNA from 1 species